AUGAACGCUGGCGGCGUGCCUAAUACAUGCAAGUCGAGCGAACGGACGAGAAGCUUGCUUCUCUGAUGUUAGCGGCGGACGGGUGAGUGACACGUGGAUAACCUACCUAUAAGACUGGGAUAACUUCGGGAAACCGGAGCUAAUACCGGAUAAUAUUUUGAACCGCAUGGUUCAAAAGUAAAAGACGGUCUUGCUGUCACUUAUAGAUGGAUCCGCGCUGCAUUAGCUAGUUGGUAAGGUAACGGCUUACCAAGGCAACGAUGCAUAGCCGACCUGAGAGGGUGAUCGGCCACACUGGAACUGAGACACGGUCCAGACUCCUACGGGAGGCAGCAGUAGGGAAUCUUCCGCAAUGGGCGAAAGCCUGACGGAGCAACGCCGCGUGAGUGAUGAAGGUCUUCGGAUCGUAAAACUCUGUUAUUAGGGAAGAACAUAUGUGUAAGUAACUGUGCACAUCUUGACGGUACCUAAUCAGAAAGCCACGGCUAACUACGUG
rnacentral:rRNA from 1 species